GUGCUCACUUUAGCAGCACAUAUACUAAAAUUGUAACAAUACAGAUAAGACUAGCAUGACCCCAUGCAAGAAUUGCACAGAAAUUUAUGAAGCAUUCAUAUUUUUA